rnacentral:rRNA from 1 species
UACGGGGGGGGCAAGCGUUGUUCGGAAUUACUGGGCGUAAAGGGCUCGUAGGCGGCCAACUAAGUCAGACGUGAAAUCCCUCGGCUUAACCGGGGAACUGCAUCUGAUACUGGAUGGCUUGAGUUCGGGAGAGGGAUGCGGAAUUCCAGGUGUAGCGGUGAAAUGCGUAGAUAUCUGGAGGAACACCGGUGGCGAAGGCGGCAUCCUGGACCGACACUGACGCUGAGGAGCGAAAGCCAGGGGAGGCAAAGCGGG